UGAGGAAUCUUGCGCAAUGGGGGAAACCCUGACGCAGCAACGCCGCGUGAGUGAAGAAGGCCUUCGGGUCGUAAAGCUCUGUCAGAUGGGAAGAAACGGAUGGGGGCUAAUACCUGCCAUGUUUGACGGUACCCUUAAAGGAAGCACCGGCUAACUCCGUGCCAGCAGCCGCGGUAAUACGGGGGGUGCAAGCGUUGUUCGGAUUUACUGGGCGUAAAGAGCGCGUAGGCGGUUCGAUGAGUCGGAGGUGAAAUCCCUCGGCUUAACCGAGGACCCGCGUCCGAUACUGUCGAACUUGAGUGCAGGAGAGGAGAGCGGAAUUCCCAGUGUAGCGGUGAAAUGCGUAGAUACUGGGAGGAACACCGGUGGCGAAGGCGGCUCUCUGGACUGUCACUGACGCUGAGGCGCGAAAGCUAGGGGAGCAAACA
rnacentral:rRNA from 1 species